CUAUAAUCGAGAGUUCGAUCCUGGCUCAGGAUGAACGCUGGCGGCGUGCCUAACACAUGCAAGUCGAACGAGACUGAGAUGACUAAGUCUUCGGACAAAGGAAUUGACUGUCGAGUGGCGGACGGGUGAGUAACGCGUGGAUAACCUGCCUCAUA
rnacentral:rRNA from 1 species